rnacentral:pre_miRNA from 1 species
UUAACUCAAAUUUGUAUGGAGUUGGAACAGCGCCCCUAGCGGCAAACGUAGGCAAACAUUCCAAUUCCAUACAAAUCUGAGUUG